AUUCCUAUCUCUAUUCAGGAGGGGAACACAGGUGAGGUCUGGACCUUCCAGCACUGAUAAGGAGGGAAACAGGUAAAGGCUGGCUGCAUUUAGCAAGAGUCUGAUAUAGGAUGUCUUUUGCCCAUUUGUUGGGAUUUGAACCCAAGUCUCUCUGUGCAAGUCCAGCUCUGAGCUUUCUUGACUAAAAUGUCCCCAAUGUGCCUGAACAGAUCACCUGGAAAUCCCCUGGAUGCCAUUAUGAAAUCCAUACCGGGGAAAAUGGCGGGAUAUAGCUGUAAACCCAGAGUAAAUGCAAGAUUACCAAUGACGACGGUUGCUGCUACUGAACAAAAUUCUAAUGAUGGUUUCACCAUUCUGCCUCAGGGCCGCAUGUGUCCUUUGCUCCUUUAUCUUCAACCACAACGGGAGUAUGCUCCACUGAGAGGGCACCCAGUGAGUGCCAUGGCUGAGAAAGGAUUUGCACGUAGCUCCCCCAAUGGUGUUCUAAUAUUCUGGCCACUGCACCACAAGGAUCCUCUGUUCACAAUACAGGAAAGCCAUUCAAAUUAGAUUUUGGCUCAGCGGUGAGAAUCAUGCAGCCACCAAGUGCUCCAAAUGAUUGAACUGUCUAAAAUGACAACGCUGGGACUAUUGUACUUUGGACAUAAUGUGAAAUAAUAAGACUCAAUGGAAAAGGAGGAGAGUAAUAGGAAAAGUUAAACGCAGUAGGAAAAAGAAGAAGACGGACAAAAGAUGGGCUGACUUAGUCAAGGAAGUGGUGGACUAUAGUUUGAAAGACCUGAGAAGGGCUGCUAAUUGAAGGUCAUUUCCUUCAUAGGGUCUCCAUAAAUUGAUAGCAACUUGAUGGCACAUAACAAUAGCAACAAAGAACUUUAGAUGAUCUAAUGGUGACAGGGAGAUUGUGACUCUAGGACCUGUGUCCUCUAUACCUUGUUUUUUUGGGGGAAAUCAUAGUUUUCUGGGUUCAUUUGGAGGGGCUGGUGUGGCCUCUACAGGCUCCUGGCCCCUCUCAGCAUCCUCCAUCCAUGUACUACAUGGAAUUGAUGUAUUUUCUGUCUUUUCUUGUUGACCAGAUUGUGAAGCUUUUCCAGAAAGGAUCUCUAGGCUAUAUAUAUUUUUUUUCUGUAAGGAGCCUGAUUCCUAGUGAUGGGUGAUGCAAGAUGUGGCCCUCCAAGUGCCAAUGUAUUGCAAUGCCUAUCACCCAGCAUCAUUAGUUAUGGGGCUGCAUCCCCAAAACACUGUCUGGGUUGCCAGAUCAGCUGCUUCCCAUUCACUGAGAUCUCUGGACAAACUUUGGAGCAGGGAGGUGAACUCUUGUAUGGUUACAGGGGGUGGGCCCUUGAGUAACAAAUGCAAAAUAAGAGGCACGCCGCCCAGAAGCCACUGGCAAUGGUGCGGCUAAAAAAUAUUGUAAAUAAAUAAAUAAAUAAAUAAAUGUCCGUUUGCA
rnacentral:lncRNA from 1 species